rnacentral:rRNA from 1 species
UACGUAGGUUCCAAGCGUUAUCCGGAUUUACUGGGCGUAAAGCGUCCGUAGCCGGCUUUGUAAGUCCGCUUUCAAAACCCGAAGCUCAACUUCGGAUCGGGAGUAGAUACUGCAAAACUAGAGAAAGAUAGAGGUAUGUAGAAUUUCAGGUGGAGGGGUGAAAUCCGUUGAUAUCUGAAGGAAUACCGAAAGCGAAGGCAGCAUGCUAUAUCUUUUCUGACGGUCAAGGACGAAAGUAUGGGGAGCGAACGGG